CUUGUGUUAGACAGUUACCAGCCUUACAGGGAUCUGACUCAUUUUUCUGUUUAAAACAUUCUGAAACUUCUGUGGAGAUUGAUCUGAUGCCACCUAUAUAUAAUGACCUACAUUUUAGAAACAGUUGGGAAGCAGACGUCUGGAAAUCUGCUGUGAGUUUUAACGUUUUCCGUGCAAAGAGCGAGUGUUAACCUGCGGUUUAUUUUUCCCUUAGGAAGGACAGAAAUGCUUCUAGGACUUCUCAGCUGUCUAACGAGGAUCAUCUUGUUUGGGAUAUGACCACGGUGUAACUACAGGGCCGUGCUUUCUCUGUCAGAUUCCUGUCUCAGAGGAGAUCUGGUUCAAGAGACACACAGCUGCACGGUGGACUGGGUAAUGCAUCUGAGCAGCCUCCUGGUCAGUCUAAAAGCUACAGUAUUCCUCUCUUCCCACUGAGAAAUAAAGAACUGCAGAGAUGAACUCUACCAUCCAAGAAGCAGGUUGGUCUCGAUCUUCAACAGAGCACUAACGUUCAGAACAUGAAAAUGACAACAGAGGCACAUCCUCAUACAACUGGCACGCUAAACCCACCCAAACAAAGCAGAGCAGGGUACAGAAUCAAGACUGCCAUAAGAGACAUGGCAAACUCUUGAAGAAAAGAACAAAGAAGUUUGGCAAACAGCAAGAAACCAAACAAACACAUUCAAAGGCAGCCCACAGAGGAAGCGAAUGCACCGAGUAUGAUGAGAAAGGAAAAGUCAGAUUAGGGCCAUCUCCACUCAUGGGAACACAUGAAGAGAAUCAGCAACUGCAAGCUGCACACUUUGCUCCAGAAAGAAAGGCUGGAUUUUCACAAGUACUUUUGAGGACAGAAUUUUCUGCUCCCACUAGGAAGAAGUGCUCCCACUUUUUAAAGCUCAGCCUUACCAGAAAGUUGAGGUGAAUGCUGGAAUGUGGUUUAACGUUGUACCCUCUGAGGAAAUGUUUAUCCCCACUAAUUGGGGGUAAUUAGAAAGAAAGAUGGCGUUACCUGUGGAACUUAAAAACUUCUCUUUGGCAUUGUACAGUGUGUUGGCAGCAAUAACGCAGAAGGGAAUUGGUGUUGGUGGUUCAGGGGGUGGGAAGGCUGGAGCAGGAAACAUCAGGAACAGUUAAAACAGUGCAUAGCAGUCUAUGCAAAGCAUAAUUCCCAAUGCACAUAUAUCUGCAGCAACACAUACCUGUAUACAUACAUGUGCAUGCAUGUGCACACCUCAGCCAUGCAGACACCGAGGCAAGAGGCAGGAAGAUCAGAGAAGGAAACACUUUAAAGCUGCUGCUCCAUGUACAUAUAUACAGACCUUUGCCCCCAGCCCACUCAUGCAGUCCUUUGUGUCCAUUUUGCUUCUCUUCAAAAAUCUGAUGACGCAUCCUGGCAUAUGGGAAAAAGCUCGUGGUUUGCUAAAGCUCUUAGGGGGUUGGUCUGCUUUUUUAAUCUAUUGGUAAAUGAGUUUGGAGGCCAGAAUAAGAAAUGCUUUUUUGUAUUUUGCCAACUGAAAUAAAAAAAAAAUAGCUAGAAGGAGCUCGCUCACAAAUUUACCACGAAUUAUCUGUAUGUUGCUGUGCUAUGCUAGCAAGUACAGCCCAGCACCUAUUGCUAAGACUUGCAGACAGAAUCAUGGAAUCUCAGAAAGGCUGAGGUGGGCAGGGACUUCUGGGUCCAUCUGGUCCAAUUCCUGCCCAAGCAGGGCCAUGCACAGCAGGGCACCCAGGCCCACAUCCAGGCAGCUUUUGGAGAUCUUCAAGGAGACUCCAUAGCCUCCGGGGAGGCUGUGCAAACACUCCAGCACCUGUGCAUUGUAGAAGUGUUUGCUGAGGUCCAGAGGAAACCUCAGUUUGUGUCCACUGCCUCUUGUCGUGGCUCUGGGCACCACUGGAAAGAGCCUGGCCCCAUCCUUUCGGCACCCUCCCUUCAGCUAUACAUAGAUGUGCAUGAGAUCCCCUUGGGCUGCUUCUUCUCCAGGCUGAACAGGCGCAGAUAUCUCAGCCUGUCCUGAUGCUCCAGCCUCUUCAUCACCUUAGUGGCCCUACAUUGGACUCUUUCCAGUACGUCUGUAUCUUUCUCAUACUGGGGGGCCCAGAAAUGGACCCAGCACUCCGGAUGUGACCUCACCAGCACUAAGGCAGCAGUGACGUAUUCUGAGCUCGAGAAAGUCUCUCAGAUUUCUCUCCUCUACAGGGAACAACCACAGUUUUAAAGGAUUUGUCGUAAAAAUAAUGAAUAAUGAGAUACAUACUUUGUUCCAUUUUCCAGAAAGAAGAUAUUUCGAAUAGGUGAUUGACAAAGCCUACCAUUUCACAUCGCUUUCUUCUAUGAUUUUCACAGCCAGAGUAGCAGUGGGAAAGUGACUCAGCUCACCAGUGUAGCAAAAAGCUGAAUGUCAAGUGGUGAGAAAAAAUAAAUAAAUCAGUGGCUGUACUAUUACCAAGAGAAUCAGAGGCUUGCUCUUCCUGAAGAAAAGCUGUCUGCAGCCAGCUCUUACAGCAACUGAACCAGGGCAACUGCCAACACAGGCGAAGCAAAGCAAAAUGAAGUUCAAGACCUAUUGCCAAGGGGUGGAAAGGUUUAAGAACAACAAACGCCUCAUCUUGACAAGGCAAAAUCUGCAAAGACUAGAACAGAAAGGGCCAAUUACUGCCUUAUGUAGUUCUAAUCUGAAAUUAUAGGAUAGAUUUCUAAUGAGGGGGAACGGUGCUGGAGGCAGCUGUGCUGGAUGGAGGGGUACAUUGCUGUAACUACAGAUCCUUAUGCACUGGUGACAGAAGUUCCAAAACUUCGAGAGGAAACACCUUUGUAAUAUUUGUUUUUGCAGAACCAAAUAACACCCUCAAUUUGCAGUGGGAUGGAAACAUUCCAGUGUGUGAAUGCUCAAAGCAGAUUGCGGCAUUACCUGGUGUGUGGAAGGAGCUGGACUAAAGUAGGCAGAGGUGAGCCAACGGGCAGGAACCCUAACUCAGAGCAGGGCUACAGGAGUGGUGGUUGGCCAGGGCAAACGGAGCAGUGGCAACGGGGGGAAAAAACAGGUAAAGAAAGAGACAAAGUCUCAGGCAGGACAUCUGAUACAGCACAGUCAAAACAAACUCCUUUCUUCCUUUCAAGAAUAUUGCUGGCAGCGAGGGCACUGAACAUUUCAUACGCUUAAUUAUGACACAGUGUGUGUUACUGGAAGGACCAAGAGAAUGAUUGGUGAUGUAACAGGCUUUUUUUUGUCUUUUUUUUUCCUUUGUGAGCUAUACAGUCAGAAAUGAUGGUUUACAACAUGUGGUCUGCAGACUCCUAGAGAUCCAGAGGACUUCCAAGGGCUUCAGAAGAGGUAGCCGUGGAACAAACAAGUAUCUUGUCCUUAUCCAAGGGUCUGCAUCUCCCCUGCAAAGCUUAUAGGGGUCUAUAAGUGGAGAAGGCUUGAAAAAACACAGCUUGUACACUAUUGGUAUUACAUGAAAGGAAAGGGAUGGUGCUUUUCCAAUUAACACUUCCAUGGACUAUGACUCAGCUCCUAGUGACAUGCUACAUAACUAUUUUUUCAGAGUAAUUUUGCUGUUGCCAGUAUUCAGAUCAAGAAGUGGCCAUGGAAUGAGCAACAACUGCAUGAUUUGUAUUCUCCUCAUAGUUUAAUGUGGCAUCAGACCUUACUGUCUGUUCUUUUAUUUGUUCCCCAAGGCACUUUUCAAUUGACAACAUUACAAUCUAUGAGUACUUCACAGACAUCAAUAAUUGCUUGUAAAUCUCUGAGGUUUUUUUUGCAUAUACUGAAAACACAGCCCCCAUUGCCUUCAGUUAUAGCUCUGAGCACCUGGCUCUGUUUCAAGUCAGGAAUCGUGUUGAUGCCCAAGGAUAUGAGGAGCGCCCAGGUACCAUCACACAAAUUCUGUCUUAUGAGCAAGGAGUUCUGGAGCAGCAGGACUGAGUCCAAGGUAGCAUUCACACUCCAGGAGCAGUUUAUUUGCACCGCUGCUCCGCUGCUCCACCUUCUCCUCACCCUCAGUUGUAAGUCCAGUACUUUGUAUUUAGCCAGCCCUCACCUCUGCUCCUUAAACUUCCCACACAUUCCUAAUCUUGCACAGCAAAUCCUUGGCCCUAGAAAAUCCAAGAUAAGUGCACUGCAGACAUCAGAUGCAAACACAGACACAGCUUGUUGCCUGAACCAUUGCUGUUAUCCUCUCCCUGGAUCAGCAUCACUGCCUGUGGCCUCUUUCCCUUCCUCCUGUGCCACCUCAGAGGGGUUCAGCCCCAGGCCCUGAAGAGUUGAGAUCUAAGUGUGAAGCACAGCCUGCCACAGAGCAUCGUAACAACCAUACCAAAAAAUAAAAGAAUCUUGCACUUGGACUAGAUGCGCUCGAGGCAGCAAAUCGCCAAGGAGGUUAACAGCUAACAUUUUAAAGGUUUCUGCUGAACAUGUGUGAGCUGCAAGCUUUGAAAGGCCUGUCUGAGCUAACCCUGGCUGAAUUUGCUCAAGGAUCAUAAAAGAUGGUGCUCUUUCAGAAAGCUCACUUCCUCCUCCACACCUCCUCAUACCAAAUACUCAUUCCAGAAACCUUUGACCUGAGUGAAAUGCAUUUCACUUUUUUGCUGUAUCUGAAAAGCAUCAUCACCUAUACAUGCGUGUGUUUGUGAUGUGGCAAGUGCAGCUAUCACCUCUGAACAGCCCAGUUCCAGAAGCUGAACUCUGAAAUAGCUACAACUGGCUGGAAACAGGAGUUUAUGAUGAGAUGUGUAGACAACUUUAAUAGCAGUUGGAGCUAACAGCCUCACCUGCAAUCACUGAUCAGAUUUGGAGAAAUCUAUACAAAAAUAAUAAUAAUAAUAAUAAUAAUGCUGUGGUGAAGCCUACACGCCUUUGUUUUAUUCUUCCCAUUGGAAGUGUGGCAGAUACAGCCAGACAGCACUGUAACCUGGGAACCAGGUAUUUUGGAGAGAAAUUACGGCCACACCAGCACCUAGCUUUCAUCCGGAUUUUUUCAUUUUUUGUCUUUGAUCUCUUCAGCUGGCCAAUUACAAAGCCUGAAUCAGCAGCUUGCCCAACUAGGGCAACGGCUCCAUCUGUAGCUGUGACCCUCGGAAAGACCUCCCAGUGUGCUCAGGGGCAUGUGUGGAGCUCUGUGGAAGUCCGUUUGCUGAGGAAGAAAGCCUUAAAAACAUUCCUCCAAUUUUUUUUUUUUUUUUUUUUGAUGUGUGGUUUUGUAUUAAAUAAAAGUGCUCGGUCGUAGAAAAUUAAAAUUUCAUUUAAAAAAUGAAAAUGAGGAGGAAGGACCUGGACAGGAAAACUCCAAAACAGUGAAAUACCUCUUCAGCUCACACUGGGAAAAGAUAAAACAGAAGCCAGGUUGGCCCGUUCCCAUCUUCAUUUCCUAAUUGAUUGCAUCAGGCAUCAAAGGUGGGCAAAGGUGGGCAGCUCACCGCCCCGGGGUCACACAGCCUCUGCCCCAGUGGCUGCCGUGCUGAAGGGCAAAUGGCUUCUUUGGGGCACUGCAUCUCAGUGACUCUCAUCUGAGCUCCAUGCAAAAGUGCCAGCUUGGUAUUUGCUAGCUCAGGUGCUGCUAUCACCUGCAUGUUUACAGAACGAUAUGGGUAAUGGCCGGGACUCUGCAGCGAGCACUGCCAGCCUCUGUACCAAGGGGAAUUCAUUGCAGGAUUGGGGCCUGCUAUGAAGCAGAUAAAAGGGAUCUAGAAAAGCCACGGAGCCCAGACAGCAUUAGAUAAAUGGUGGUGAGAAAGCCUGCUUUCAUAGCACUAAUGUAGCUGUGUUUCCUGAAAAAAAAAAAAAGAAUAAGAAAUUCCCCAGUGUAGGCAUACUUAUUGUUUGCCAAAAAGCAUUCUGAAUUCCUCAAUAAUCAGCCAGGAAGCGGUAAAAUCUGUCAGACAAAUGACCAAUAUGUUAUUUUUUCCAAUAUCAAAUACAUAUUUUAGGUCAUUACUAUUAGAGACAAACAUUUUGUGGCCAAGGCAACUUCUUUUGUCAGCCAUGCUAAAUUUGUAAGUCAUACACAGUGAAUGGAACUUCUGUACACACACACACAUUUUAAGACCUCUUUCAGUCCAGACCAGUCCUUUGCCUUGUGGAUUCAUUAGCUACUUGCACUCACUGUUCCUUCAGAAAACUGCACAAGCAGAAAUUAUGUGUUUUCCCAUUCAAGUAAUCAGAAAAGUGGAAUUAAUUAUAACAGCUAUAACAUUCGUGCUGCCUGUAGACACCUGGAUUUUCCAUCACCCACUCACACAAAACAUGUAAGAUAAUUCCUGCUUUUAUUUAGUCGUUCUGAGUGAUUACUUUCAUUUAAUUUCCUCUGUGACAGAAGGCAAAGUGCUGACUUUGUAUCAGAAUAGGUCUACUAGCUUUGGAUGGCUGUCCUGAGGGCCUCCUGUGAAGUUUUCCUGUUCCCUCCAUUGGAGAGGAUCUUUCUUUUCUCUGAUGGGUGUAAAUUACUAGUAGGACUCGCCUGGCAUUGCUGUUGGACUUGAGUCAGCAGAGCAACACUGAUUCUUUCCACUUCUUUGCUAGUAGGUAAAGGGAAAGGAGGAUGCUAGCUUAACAACCUCUCCCCAUUGUGCCCCAGAGGUUGGGCAUCUUGCCAUACAUAGAUGUUAUCAAAAAUUGAAUCAUUUUAUAA